rnacentral:tRNA from 4 species
GGGCCGUUAGCUCAAUUGGCAGAGCAACCGGCUUUUAACCGGUGAGUUCAGGGUUCGAGUCCCUGACGGCCCACCU